CAGUAGCCGCGGGAAUGCGAAGGGGGCUAGCGUUGCUCGGAAUGACUGGGCGUAAAGGGUGCGUAGGCGGUUCGUACAGUUGGAUGUGAAAUUCCUGGGCUUAACCUGGGGGCUGCAUUCAAUACGUGCGGGCUUGAGUGUGGAAGAGGGUUGUGGAAUUCCCAGUGUAGAGGUGAAAUUCGUAGAUAUUGGGAAGAACACCGGUGGCGAAGGCGGCAACCUGGUCCAUAACUGACGCUGAGGCGCGAAAGCGUGGGGAGCAAACAGGAUUAGAUACCCCAGUAGUCCCUGUCUCUUAUAC
rnacentral:rRNA from 1 species